rnacentral:tRNA from 1 species
GAGGGUACAGCUCAAGUGGUAGAGCCCAUGCUUAGCAUGCAUGAGGUCCUGGGUUCAAUCCCCAGUACCUCCA